CCAAUAGCGUAUAUUAAAGUUGUUGCAGUUAAAAAGCUCGUAGUUGAAUUUCGAGAUCAGUACGCUGGUCGUGCCUUCGGUAUGCACUGGUGUCACUGGUUUCUCCCUUCUGAAGAACCAUCAUGUCAUUAAGUUGGUGUGGCGGGGAAUCAGGACUGUUACUUUGAAAAAAUUAGAGUGUUUAAAGCAGGCUCGCGCUUGAAUACAUUAGCAUGGAAUAAUGAAAUGGGACGUUUGACCCUAUUUUGUUGGUUUCUAGGAUCGACGUAAUGAUUAAUAGGGAUAGUUGGGGGCAUUAGUAUUCAAUUGUCAGAGGUGAAAUUCUUGGAUUUAUUGAAGACUAACUACUGCGAAAGCAUUUGCCAAGGAUGUUUUCAUUAAUCAAGAACGAAAGUUAGGGGAUCGAAGACGAUCAGAUACCGUCGUAGUCUUAACCAUAAACUAUGCCGACUAGGGAUCGGAUGAUGUUAAUUUUUUAAUGACUCAUUCGGCGCCUUACG
rnacentral:rRNA from 1 species